CCUAGGGAAUAACCUGAAGGGGUUGGAAUCAGAUAAGAAGACACCUCAGCCACCUCCUACCUUAAUUUGCAGCUCCUCACACCAUGGGAAGGGACUGGCAAGCCAAAUGUGGUGUCAGACACCAGAAUUCCUCACACAGUUUGGAGCUAACUAAUAAUGAUACUGAAAACCACUUUCAAUAGGAACUACACCUUCACUUUGCACCAGUGGAGAACAACCAUUAGCACACUUUGUCAAGGAAAGGGAUGCAUUUAUCAUCACCUGGAGCCUUUUCAUAGACGCUGGAUGUGCUCUAAAAGAUACACUCUUACUCAACAAGAUGUUAUUGAACUCAAUAGCACUCACCUGUGUGGCGGGAAAAAUUCAUUCCUGUCGCUGCAAGAACUUCUGGGAAGGCAUAAAAUGGUCUGGUUUACACAUAUUUUAUACAAAUAGUCUCUUCUGGCUUUAAAAUAUGCUACAUGUGAGACUGGACACUAAAUUUAUUCUCUCAAAUGUUUAUUCAUGUAAACAAUCAAAUCUUCAUUAAAGUCGAAAUUAUACACACAAA